ensembl:snRNA
AAAAAGGGCUUCUCUUGUGAGUGGAAUCCAUAGGGCAACUCAGUUGUUCUUCUUGUGGAACAGACAUGAAGAGAUUUGAGAAGCAUAAUUUUUUUGGGUAUUUGGAUAUUUGGUGAUAGUUGAUCCUGGCCACUCU